rnacentral:rRNA from 1 species
AAGAAACUAACAAGGAUUCCCCUAGUAACUGCGAGUGAAGCGGGAAAAGCUCAAAUUUAAAAUCUGGCAGUCUUUGGCUGUCCGAGUUGUAAUUUAGAGAAGCAUUGCCCGCGCUGGACUGUGUACAAGUCUCCUGGAAUGGAGCGUCAUAGAGGGUGAGAAUCCCGUAUAUGACACAGUUGCCAGGGCUUAGUGGCAUGCUCUCCAAGAGUCGAGUUGUUUGGGAAUGCAGCUCAAAAUGGGUGGUAAAUUCCAUCUAAAGCUAAAUAUAGGCGAGAAACCGAUAGCGAACAAGUACCGUGAGGGAAAGAUGAAAAGAACUUUGGAAAGAGAGUUAAACAGUACGUGAAAUUGUUGAAAGGGAAACGCUUGAAGUCAGUCGCAUUGCUGGAAAUCACGCUUGCUUUUUUGCUUGUGGCUCUUUCCUAGUAAUGGGUCAGCAUCAGUUUUGAUUGUUGGACAAGGGUCAGAGGAAUGUGGCAUCCUUGGAUGUGUUAUAGCCUCUGAUCAUAUGCAAUGAUUGAGACUGAGGAACUCGGCACUUGUGCUUAGGAUGCUGGCAUAAUGGCUUUAAUCGACC